rnacentral:rRNA from 1 species
AUUCCAGCUCCAAUAGCGUAUAUUAAAGUUGUUGCAGUUAAAAAGCUCGUAGUUGGAUUUCUGGUGCAUUCCACUGGCCUAUUGGUUAACUCCAACUUGGCUCAUUUGGAAUACGCCAUCUUUAGGCAGACCCGUCGUGGCAUUAGGUUGUCGUGAUGGUUACGCCUAUCGUUUACUGUGAAGAAAUUAGGGUGUUCAAAGCAGGCUUAUGCCAUGAAUACGUUAGCAUGGAAUAAUGAGAUAGGAUUUCGGCACUAUUUUGUUGGUCUGUGUACGGAAAUAAUGAUUAACAGGAACAGUGUUGUGGGUAUUCGUAUUUCGUUGUCAGAGGUGAAAUUCUUGGAUUUACGAAAGACGAACGACUGCGAAAGCAUUUACCAAGGAUGUUUUCAUUA